ensembl:snoRNA
AUGUUUCUAAAGUUCCUGUCGUAUAUGUGAGCAGUGUUAUUUCUUAUGUGCUAUACAAAUAGUUGAAGGUUAAUUAGCAGUAUAAUUAGUAAUGCUGCCAGUCUCCUUCAGACAAGA